UACAGAGGGUGCAAGCGUUAAUCGGAAUUACUGGGCUUAAAGCGCGCGUAGGUGGUUUGUUAAGUUGGAUGUGAAAUCCCCGGGCUCAACCUGGGAACUGCAUUCAAAACUGACAAGCUAGAGUAUGGUAGAGGGUGGUGGAAUUUCCUGUGUAGCGGUGAAAUGCGUAGAUAUAGGAAGGAACACCAGUGGCGAAGGCGACCACCUGGACUGAUACUGACACUGAGGUGCGAAAGCGUGGGGAGCAAACAGG
rnacentral:rRNA from 1 species